rnacentral:rRNA from 1 species
CUACCAGGGUUUCUAAUCCUGUUUGCUCCCCACGCUUCCGCACCUCAGCGUCAAUACCUGUCCAGCGAGUCGCCUUCGCCACUGGUGUUCUUCCGAAUAUCUACGAAUUUCACCUCUAUACUCGGAAUUCCACUCGCCUCUCCAGGAUUCUAGCAAUCUAGUUUCAGAGGCAGUUCCGGGGUUGAGCCCCGGGAUUUCACCCCUGACUUGGAUCGCCGCCUACGCGCGCUUUACGCCCAGUAAUUCCGAACAACACUAGCUCCCUCCGUAUUACCGCGGCUGCUGGCAC